rnacentral:rRNA from 1 species
GUGCCAGCAGCCGCGGUAAUACAGAGGUCCCAAGCGUUGUUCGGAUUCACUGGGCGUAAAGGGUGCGCAGGUGGGUUGGCAAGUUUGAUGUGAAAGCCCCGGGCUUAACCCGGGAAUGGCAUUGGAUACUGCUGAUCUGGAGGAUCGGAGGGGGGACUGGAAUUCUUGGUGUAGCAGUGAAAUGCGUAGAUAUCAAGAGGAACACCAGUGGCGAAGGCGAGUCCCUGGACGAUACCUGACACUGAGGCACGAAAGCCAAGGGAGCAAACAGGAUUAGAAACCCCUGUAGUCC